rnacentral:tRNA from 1 species
UUGUAACUCCGGAAAAAGAGGGAUUCGAC